rnacentral:lncRNA from 1 species
CCUUAUUUGACUUAUAUUGCUGAGGUACCCCCGAAGCAUGUGUUGUCGCCCCGAUGAAAUAUUCUUAGACUAGGUCCCUUAUGUUAGUUGUUUUAGGGACAUUAAAGUGAGAAUAACGGGAAUGGGUAAUUGGGUUAUUGUUGGUUGGUGAAAAUUAAAUAUGAUAUUUAUUGUGGGUUGAAAACCCUAUAUGCUCACCAGGCUCCCAAGCCUGACCCACUCAGUUUUAAAUUGUAUUACAGGUAGUGGCGGAAGGGCAUGAGAUGGAUGAACCAUCAAGUUGUUUUGUUUACAAGUCUGCAUAUGUUUAUAUUUGUUAUAUGACUUGUAAUGUAUUCGUUUAUGCUUAUUGGUCUGUAUCGGAACAUGACACCCCGAGUUUUGAUUAUAAUGAAAAUACAUUUCUUUUAUGAAAUGCUUCGGUAAACAAUGUUUUAUCAUGUUUUGUUUUUGGGAACAAAUUCCGCAACUCUUUCAAAUCAAAAGGAUUUACUCUGAAAAUAUUUAAAAGCAUAAAUGAAAAUCGGUCUUUUCUGGCCGAGAUUUUGGGGAUGUCACAGUUGGUAUCAGAGCAUUAGUUUAAGCGAACUAGGAAUUUGUAGGAUUUCUAGACUUAAACUUAGAAUGCUAAGUGAAGUUUUGAGAUGUGUGUCUGUUGUGAUUUAGACACGAGCACUAGUUUAUUUUAGGAAAGUUGCCUAAAAUGCUUUAUGUGCUAAAUGUUAUAUGUUGCCAUAUAUGAUAUUAUUUGUUCGGAUCUAUGGUCUGUUGCCGACCGGAUCUAGAAACCUUAUGUGUGUAGGAUUCUAAGCGUACGUCUACGAUAUUAGAACUAGCAUGUAAACGUUUCGGAGUGAUAAGGAUGAUUUGAAUAUCUAUCAUGAUUGAGGAUCUAAUUUCACCUUAUUCGGUGUAGAUCAAAAUGGUGAGAACAAGAAGUGGAGUUGGAAAUGCUGACGAAAACAGGAAUCAACCACCAGUGAUUGAGCCAAUACCUGUCGUAGCAGCAGCACCUGAGCCAAUAACCAUGGCUGGUGUGCAAUUGAUGAUUCAGACGAUGUUGGAUCGUCAGAUGGAUGAAACUAGACGGUUGCUUCAACAAAAUCGUGAAGAACUGUCGAUUCGUGUGGAAGAGCCUGAACUGAAUGAAGGGCACUCGGAAGGUGGAAACUUCAGUGGGUCUGUUGGUCCAGCCAACCCACCGAUAGUUAGGCAAGAUAACCAUGAUGGAAGGAAUGAUGGAAUGGGAUGCAAGUACAAGGACUUUUUGACUUGUAAACCAUCGACCUUCAAUGGAAAGGAGGAUCCGAUUGGGGUUAUGGAUUGGAUCUCCGAAAUGGAGUUAGCCUUUAUGACAUGUGGCUGUAGAGGCAAGUUGCAGACUAUCUAUGCCGUGCGACAAUUCCGAGGUGGAGCCGUUCGUUGGUGGAACACUCUAGGGAAGACCUUAAGCCCUAAUGAGCCACUGCAAUUGUCAUGGGCAGAGUUCUUGGUGCAGUUCAAGCGCAAGUUCUGCUCGGCUCAAAAUCUGUUGGAGUUGGAGAACAAGUUUUUGACAUUGACGAAGGGUAGCAUGUCAGUGGAUGAGUACACCAAUAACUUCACCGAUAAGAUGGAGUUUGCCUUGCGUAUCGUUCCAGACGAGCUGACAAAGGUGGAUCGGUAUGCGAAGGGACUUCCAUGGGAGUACGAGGUGCCGGUACGUCAGGCACUUACUCUAGAGGCAGCUAUCUGGGCUGCCAAGUCUGUGGAGAACAUGAUCAAGGGGAGAACCACCGUCAAGGUUGAGGUUGGUGAGAAAAGGAAGUUUGAAGGAACAUCUGGUUCCAGUAAGAAGAGCAAAUUUUCGAAAUCUGAUUCGAAAAAGUUUGGAGGAAAAGGAGGCGAAGCAAAGUGGUGUGAUAAGUGUAAGAAAAAGCACUUUGGGAAAUGUAGCGAGGAUGUGACCUGCUACAAGUGUGGAAAGGUUGGACAUUUUGCCAAUGAAUGUCCGAACAACAAAAGGAUGUGUUUUGGGUGUAAUGAAGAGGGGCAUAUUUUGAAAGACUGUCCGAAGAAGAAGGAGGCAGCUAGGCCCAACAUUCCACCAAAGCCGAAGGCGAGAGCCUUCCAGAUGACACUUGAGGCUGCGAAAGAUGAAGCUGAUGUCGCUUCAGGUACCUUUCUCGUAAACGAAUUACCUGCUCAUAUAUUGUUUGAUUCUGGAGCCAACUACUCCUUUAUUUCGCAUGAGUUUGGUAGAAAGCUAGCUUUGCCUGUUGAUAGACUAGAUAAUGCUUUAUUAGUCGAAGUAGCUAGUGGCAAGUUUGUACCUGUUAGCCAUCGUAUGAAAAACGUCUUGAUCGACCUUAAUGGGAAUAAGUUUCUCGAGGAAUUAUUGCCUAUCGAACUAAAUGGUUUCGACAUCGUCUUGGGAAUGGAUUGGCUUAGCGCCAAUGAUGCCGAAAUUUUGUGCAAGAAGAAGAUAGUUAAAGUAAACCCGCCUGGGAAAGAUUCGUUUAUGGUGUAUGGGGACAAACGCAGAGUGAAUUCUGGAAUCAUUUCUCUAAUGAAAGCCAGAAAGUGUUUGACCAAGGGAUGUACAUCAUAUUUAGCAUUCGUGAUUGAUGCUAAGAAAGAAAAGAAGGUGAUGCAGAGCAUUCCAGUGGUGUGUGAUUAUCCGGAAGUAUUUCCCGAGGAUCUUCCUGGAUUACCACCUGAUAGACAAGUGGAGUUCAGAAUAGACUUGUUACCAGGAACCACGCCAAUAGCAAAAGCACCUUAUCGAUUAGCACCGACGGAGAUGAAGGAGCUGAUGAUGCAACUUCAGGAGUUAUUGGACAAAGGUUUCAUUAGACCUAGUUCAUCGCCCUGGGGAGCUCCGGUGUUAUUUGUAAAGAAGAAAGAUGGAAGUAUGAGAAUGUGCAUCGAUUACAGAGAGCUGAACAAGGCAACAAUAAAGAAUAGAUAUCCGUUGCCGAGGAUUGAUGACCUGUUUGAUCAAUUGCAAGGUUCGAGCUAUUUCUCGAAGAUCGAUCUUAGGUCAGGAUAUCAUCAGCUGAAAGUAAGAGAGCAAGAUAUCGAGAAGACUGCAUUCAGAACUAGAUAUGGACACUACGAGUUCUUGGUUAUGUCGUUUGGACUAACCAAUGCUCCAGCAGCGUUCAUGGAUUUGAUGAAUAGGGUUUGUAAUCCUUUCCUUGAUAAAUCCGUGAUAGUGUUCAUAGACGACAUUCUGAUCUACUCGAAAAGCCAGGAGGAGCAUGGCAGACACUUGCGAGAAGUGUUAGAAGUUUUGAAGAAGGAGAAGCUUUAUGCGAAGUUCUCCAAAUGUGAUUUUUGGAUUCGUGAGGUCCAAUUCUUGGGUCACGUGGUCAACCAAGAAGGGAUAAUGGUUGAUCCAGCGAAGAUCGAAGCUGUGACGAAGUGGGAACAACCGAAAAGUCCCACGGAGAUUCGAAGCUUUUUAGGAUUAGCCGGAUAUUACCGAAGGUUUAUCCAAGGCUUUUCUUCGAUUGCUACUCCAUUAACAGCUUUGACCCACAAAGGAGCUACUUAUGCUUGGAGUGAGAAGCAUAAAGAAGCAUUCGAGAAGUUAAAGAAGAAGCUAUGCGAGGCACCGAUACUUUCUCUACCCGAUGGAGUUGAAGACUUCGCUGUUUAUAGCGAUGCGUCUGGUGUUGGAUUGGGUUGUGUUUUGACCCAAAGAGAAAAGGUGAUAGCAUAUGCGUCUCGACAGCUGAAAGAGCAUGAAAAGAAUUACCCGACUCAUGAUUUGGAGUUGGCAGCGGUAGUUUUCGCUCUGAAAAUAUGGAGGCAUUACCUCUAUGGCACGAAGUGCAAACUUUUCACUGAUCAUAAGAGUCUCCAAUACCUCUUUAAUCAGAAAGAAUUGAAUAUGAGGCAACGACGCUGGCUAGAAUUACUUAAAGACUACGACUGCGAGAUACUUUACCACCCCGGUAAAGCUAAUGUUGUUGCUGAUGCUCUCAGUCGGAAAGUCAAUCUUGAAAGGAAGAGGCCAAGAGCGUUGAGAAUUGAAGUUGUCUCGACUAUUGUGGAAAGUAUAAAGAAAGCUCAAGAGGAAGCUUCUGAGAAAAAUGACCGAAAGGAGGAACGUUUGGGUAAAACGUUGGUGUUUGGUACUAACGGUCAUGGACUGAAGGUAUUCCAAGAUCGUAUUUGGGUACCUAAGUCAGGAGGAAUUAGGGAUCUUCUGAUGGAAGAAGCUCACAAAACCAUGUACUCAAUUCAUCCGGGUAGCACUAAAAUGUAUAGGGACCUGAAACCCUACUACUGGUGGCCGACGAUGAAGCUUGAUGUUGCAAAGUAUGUGGCCGAGUGUGUGACUUGUGCGAGAGUCAAGACACAACAUCAGAAACCUUACGGGAGUUUAGAACCAUUGCCUGUGCCUAUGGGUAAGUGGGAAGACAUUGCUAUGGAUUUUGUCACUAAACUGCCCAGAACAAAGAAUGGUCACGACAUGAUUUGGGUGGUCGUUGAUCGAUUCACUAAGAGUGCGCAUUUCAUAGCGGCCAGGGAGAAAUGGUCUAUGGAAAAGCUUGCGAAUUCUUACGUGAAGGAAAUUGUGAGGCUUCACGGUGUUCCGUUAACGAUUGUAUCGGAUCGUGAUAGCCGUUUCACCUCAAGGUUUUGGAAAAGUCUACAAGAGGAAAUGGGUACCAAGUUAUGUUUAAGCACAGCUUACCAUCCGCAGACUGAUGGUCAGAGUGAAAGAACAAUACAAACACUUGAAGAUAUGCUGAGAGCAUGUACCUUGGAAUUCCUAGGUAAUUGGGAUGAACAUUUACCGUUGGUAGAAUUUUCCUAUAAUAAUAGUUUUCACUCGAGCAUUAAGAUGGCACCUUAUCAAGCUUUGUAUGGACAGAAGUGUCGUACGCCGUCUUGUUGGCUUGAGGCUGGGGAAAAGCAGUUUAUGGGACCGGAGAUGGUUCAUCAAACUGCUGAAAAGUUGAAAAUAAUUAGGGAAAGAAUGUUAGCAGCUCAAGAUCGUCAAAAGAGCUAUGCUGACAAGAAGCGAAGACCGAUGACUUUUGAGGUUGGAGAUUCGGUUUUGCUUAAAGUCUCGCCGUGGAAGGGACUUAUAAGAUUUGGUAAAAGGGGAAAGUUGAGUCCAAGGUUUAUUGGACCGUUUAAAGUCCUUCAGAGGAUUGGGAAUCAAGCUUACAAGCUCGAAUUACCCGAAGAACUGAAUGGAAUUCACAACACCUUUCAUGUGUGUUAUUUGAGGAAGUUCACGGGAGAAGUUCCCGAUAUAAUUCCAAUUUCUGAAUUGAGAAUUGAUGAGAACAAAAGGUUGAUUGAAGAACCAGAGGCAAUUGUUGACCGAAAGACUAAGAAGUUGCGACGCAAAAUGGUUGGGUUAGUGCUUGUCCGAUGGAAACACACGAAUGGGCCGAAUCUCACCUGGGAGACGGAGAGUGACAUGUUGAGUCGCUAUCCGCAUUUGUUUGUUGAUGUGUGAUUCCGGGGACGGAAUCAUUCUAAGGUGGAGAGAAUUGUAACGCCUGUGUUUCCGGGCUUGCCAUUUUUAGCAAUGUAAUAGUCUAGGUUAACCUUUGUAACCCGUUUUGAAAUAAUAAGAUUGUAUUAUUUGAGUAUUAUGUGUUUUGUGCUUAAUUGCUUAAUUAUGUGGUUUGAUUAAUUAAGAAUAAAAAUAAGCGUCAAAAUUUAAGUGUAAAAUAAACUUAAUAUCUUUGGUUAAUGUUGUAGUAGUUGAAACGAGGUUUCCGAAUAUAUAUAGAACGCCCAAAUCUGACUUCGUAUGAGGAAGUUAUGAUUUAUCGAAGUUCCGGCUUAGCGAUAUACAGCCUGUUUUACUCGAUUUGAGAUCGAGCGGUUGUUAGCCGAAGCAAUCUAAAUGAGAAUCGAAGAUCUCAUUGUUGGUAUUGAAACGAUAAAAAGUUAGGCGAGAACGGACGUCAAACGAAGAAGUUAUGAAUUUAUAACGAAAGUUUCUGUCCCGGCCUAUUAAAAAUAAUUAAUAAAAAUAAAGUCAAAAUUAGCCGACGGAGUCUAAACGAAAGUCGUAGAGCGUGGUCUCACCUUCGCGUGGAUAUAAAGAACGUCGAAAACGGAGUUCGUAUGAAGAAGUUAUGAAUUUCCGAAGUUUAUUAAUCAUUUUGUAUUUAUUUUUAAUUCAAAAUUCGGAAGCAUUAUCCGAAGGAGUCACCGAUCUGAUCCGAGGUACGCCCCGCGUACUCGAGUACGCCCCGCGUACUCCGAGGGAUGUCGACACUCGCACUCGAGCACUUCGGAUACGUAAGCAAUGACGUUUUGGGCAGUACGCCCCGCGUAACGCAGUACGCCCCGCGUACUCCGAGGCUCCAGCCUCCUAUAAAUAGGAUGCGAGGGUUCCGGGUAUUUUUGCCAAUUCCCUCUCGUUUUCGUGUCGAAGCUCUGUGCAAAAACCCCCGAAGCUACCCCGAAGUCCCGGUAUCAUACUCUAGCCCCGAGGCAAGUCCCGAGAUCCUGAAGAUCCCGAAAAGUGCGGUUCCCGAGUCGAAGCUCUGCCCGCGAGAAGUUCGAUUUUCGAGAAGAUCUUCCAGAUCUGCUGUGGAUUACUACUUCUAUAAGCCGUAGUGCUGUCCGAUCAUCUUCUGAUCAAGUGAGUGUGUAGUUAUUUCUUCUAAUACAAUAAUACGAAGUAUUUUAUAUAAAAAUACGUGCUAUGUGUAUAUAUUUGGUUGUGUUAUGUGUGAAUGAGUAUUCACUCUCUUCUAUCUUAUAGAUCUGCUUAUUUCUUUAUGAGAUAUGUGUUAUGUGUGUGUGUGCCUCAUCUGUUAUGUGAUAUAUGUGUUGAUUAAAGCAUGCUAUACAGGUUUUCUUUAAACUAUGUAUACAAAUGUAUAUUUUUAUCUACUAAUAUGUUGGGUAGAACAUGGGUAGACAGUUGGUGUGUAAUAAACAGAUGAGAGGCCUCGUUGUUGUUUGAUUGAGUCAUCUAGCGGAGUUUAGAUGACGACCACUGGCUAUUCUAGACAGUCUUGUGGAAACAUUAGCAGGUUCGCCACCUGUAGGUGUUAAUGAACUUGGGUGUUCAUUCGCUGUACUCCAUCCCCCUCAUGGUUGCCUUAUUUGACUUAUAUUGCUGAGGUACCCCCGAAGCAUGUGUUGUCGCCCCGAUGAAAUAUUCUUAGACUAGGUCCCUUAUGUUAGUUGUUUUAGGGACAUUAAAGCGAGAAUAACGGGAAUGGGUAAUUGGGUUAUUGUUGGUUGGUGAAAAUUAAAUAUGAUAUUUAUUGUGGGUUGAAAACCCUAUAUGCUCACCAGGCUCCCAAGCCUGACCCACUCAGUUUUAAAUUGUAUUACAGGUAGUGGCGGAAGGGCAUGAGAUGGAUGAACCAUCAAGUUGUUUUGUUUACAAGUCUGCAUAUGUUUAUAUUUGUUACAUGACUUGUAAUGUAUUCGUUUAUGCUUAUUGGUCUGUAUCGGAACAUGACACCCCGAGUUUUGAUUAUAAUGAAAAUACAUUUCUUUUAUGAAAUGCUUCGGUAAACAAUGUUUUAUCAUGUUUUGUUUUUGGGAACAAAUUCCGCAACUCUUUCAAAUCAAAAGGAUUUACUCUGAAAAUAUUUAAAAGCAUAAAUGAAAAUCGGUCUUU